ACUGCUUGAUUAAACAUUUCAUUGCUAAAAGAGCGCAUUAAUAUGGUUCUUAUAUUUUUCAUAUAAUUAAGGCAUGUUCUGUUUUUAUCUACAGGUCAAUGCAUGCAUAAUUGAUUAUUUCGUGAAUAUUUUCCUUGUGGAAUGGGAUCGGAGAUUGAAGGGAUUAUGUUCAAUAAUGACAUUCCAAAGAUCAGCCCUGGACUUCAAGUUUAUAAAAAGUGUCCGAUUUCAAAUGCCAUAGUAAGACUCAUUCCAUUAAAAUGUCAAACUGCUGAACUGAAGAUCCAGUAGGUGUGGAAGCCCCCUUGCCACGUAGGUAUCGUCGUCCUCCACGUGGCG
rnacentral:lncRNA from 1 species